rnacentral:rRNA from 1 species
GAGUUUGAUCAUGGCUCAGAUUGAACGCUGGCGGAAUGCUUUACACAUGCAAGUCGAACGGCAGCACGGGAGCUUGCUCCUGGUGGCGAGUGGCGAACGGGUGAGUAAUGCGUCGGAACGUACCGAGUAAUGGGGGAUAACGCACCGAAAGGUGUGCUAAUACCGCAUACGCCCUGAGGGGGAAAGCAGGGGAUCGUAAGACCUUGCGUUAUUCGAGCGGCCGACGUCUGAUUAGCUAGUUGGUGGGGUAAAGGCCUACCAAGGCGACGAUCAGUAGCGGGUCUGAGAGGAUGAUCCGCCACACUGGAACUGAGACACGGUCCAGACUCCUACGGGAGGCAGCAGUGGGGAAUUUUGGACAAUGGGGGCAACCCUGAUCCAGCCAUUCCGCGUGAGUGAAGAAGGCCUUCGGGUUGUAAAGCUCUUUCAGCUGGAACGAAACGGUACGCUCUAACAUAGCGUGCUAAUGACGGUACCAGCAGAAGAAGCACCGGCUAACUACGUGCCAGCAGCCGCGGUAAUACGUAGGGUGCGAGCGUUAAUCGGAAUUACUGGGCGUAAAGCGUGCGCAGGCGGAUUGUUAAGCAAGACGUGAAAUCCCCGGGCUUAACCUGGGAAUGGCGUUUUGAACUGGCAGUCU